rnacentral:rRNA from 1 species
UACAGAGGUCCCAAGCGUUGUUCGGAUUCAUUGGGCGUAAAGGGUGUGUAGGUGGCGCCGUAAGUCGGGUGUGAAAUUUCGGAGCUUAACUCCGAAACUGCAUUCGAUACUGCGGUGCUUGAGGACUGGAGAGGAGACUGGAAUUCGUGGUGUAGCAGUGAAAUGCGUAGAGAUCAUGAGGAAGACCAGUGGCGAAGGCGGGUCUCUGGACAGUUCCUGACACUGAGGCACGAAGGCCAGGGGAGCAAACGGG